rnacentral:rRNA from 1 species
CCUACGGGUGGCAGCAGUGAGGAAUAUUGGUCAAUGGACGAGAGUCUGAACCAGCCAAGUAGCGUGAAGGAUGACUGCCCUAUGGGUUGUAAACUUCUUUUAUAAAGGAAUAAAACGAGGCACGUGUGCCUUUUUGCAUGUACUUUAUGAAUAAGGAUCGGCUAACUCCGUGCCAGCAGCCGCGGUAAUACGGAGGAUCCGAGCGUUAUCCGGAUUUAUUGGGUUUAAAGGGAGCGUAGAUGGGUUGUUAAGUCAGUGGUGAAAGUUUGCGGCUCAACCCGAAAAUUGCAAUUGAUACUGGCAGUCUUGAGUACAGGUGAGGUAGGCGGAAUUCGUGGUGUAGCGGUGAAAUGCUUAGAUAUCACGAAGAACCCCGAUUGCGAAGGCAGCUUACUAAACUGUGACUGACAUUGAUGCUCGAAAGUGUGGGUAUCGAACAGGAUUAGAUACCCUUGUAGUC